rnacentral:lncRNA from 1 species
AUGGAAGCUGCUCUUUGGGUGUGCCUCAGUCUGCUCUGUCUGCAGGGCAGCUUUCUCCAGCUCACACGUGGUGCAGACUGCACUGGGACAUCACCGGUGGAAGACUGUGUUAAUGGGCAGACCACCGGAGGAAAGAAGGAUGGGCUUCUGCGGCUGAUGCCAUCUGCUCCAAGAGAGACCCAUACCCAGAAAAAUCCACAGAGGUGGAAGGAUGACAACGUACUGUCGGCCGUGCCGUUGGACAGACAGGAGAGAGAGUUUGGGAAGCACUCCAGCCUUCCUGGGUCCUUCUCAACUAAGGGCUUCCCCAACACACUCAUCCAAGUUCAGACAGAGCGGGCCAGGAGACACUUGGGCCAGUCUGGGACCAAGAAGAAGAACAAGCCUAAAUCCAGAGUGGGAUCUUUUUCUCUGCUCAGCAACAACCCCAGCGCCGCCAUACAGGUAACCAGAGUACGGAGGCAGCUGCAGAAGGAGAAGAAGAAAGGGAAGCCAAGAGGACGAACAGGAGCGUACUCCGCUAUGGACGUCCCAGACAAACCUGAACCCUUGGUGAGGCCAAUGUCCCCCUCCGCGUGUCCCUCACCCCCACCUGAGUCAAUCAAUCAAUAAACCAAUCAAUCACUUUUUUUGUGACCAGAGAGAAAUUCUGCUUCCAGGCAUGUUAAGAAUACAGAGUUCAUACAAACUACUUAAAAACCGCUAACACAAAAAAAAGUUUCAAACCUGUUGUGUUAAAUUCACCUCCGUCUGAUUUGUCACUCUAAUCUAAACUAAAUGUUUGAUUCUUUCACCAGGGACAAAGGCGCAAGAGGAGCCCACAGAAGAAGAAACAGACCAAGAGAAUUGUUUGUUCAUAAACAUUUCAUUAAACGAAACAAGGGACUUUGCGGAAGUGCUACUGCUUCAAUAGUUCAUAAACUGUACUUUAUAUCUUCUUCUCUUUGUAAACAUAUUGGUUUUGUCAUUUUUUCAAUUGAACAAUAAUGUAAUAUAUAUAAUGGAAACACAUCCCUGAGGACAAGUAUACUUACAAUACUUUUGAGAACUCCUUUAAUAUUCUCUUUUAUUACAGUUAUUUGUUGUUGUUGUCGUUGGUCGAUGGUGAUUCUUUGGCGACUGUGCAUAUUAUCAGGUUUAAAUAAAGUAAACUUGUAUGAGAAUACUUCUUGAGAACAUUCCGCAACACAAGGCCUACCGUUUCUACCUAGCACUGAUCGUUUUCUGUUCAGUCAUUGACAGAGUCGGACUCCACCUUGACAAAUGGACUGGAACAUUUCACUGCUCCAGCUCUCCCUCUCUGUUGCCAAGUGCAACACCUUCAAUUCCCACACAACAGGACCUGGGUAACUUCCAGAAGUUAAUUCAGAAAUUGUGAAUUAGGGGGGGGGGGGGGGGGGGAAUGUCACUGAGCCCCAAUUACAGAUGGCUGAGCUAACGUCAGAGUCUGUCUCCCAAAUGGCACCAUAUUCCCUAAAUAGUGCACUACUUUUCACCAUCUUAAGGCUAAGUUCAUCGUUAGAACCAUAUAGUUUGAACGAUGAACUUAGCCUUAAGAUGUUUUUGGGAAACCAGGUUGUGAGUACCAUGGGUCCUGGUCAAAAGUAGUGCACUAUGUAAGGAAGAGGGUGCCAUUUGGGCUGCAGGCAGUGAAUGCCCAGCACUCCGCUAAACUUGCAGUCAAACCUUUGGGUUGAGUGCCCAACUGUUCUGUCAAAUUAAAGGGCGUUGGACCAGUUGAUAAUGGGAAAGAAAUCAUCAUAAUGUUAGACUGUAUACGCCAUCUGUUUCAGAAGUCAAAGUUAAUUUGUUCGAAAAAAAAAUGUUUAUUUUGAAUGAAUUUAGUCAGAGCUAGGAAGCUCAUGGCACUGCAUUCACUAAUGGAGAUGGUUUGAGUGUUUUUGCAGACCAGUCCUGUACUUUACAGUGCCUGCGGAAAGUAUUCAGACCCCUUGACUUUUUCCAUAAUUUGUUAUGUUACAGCCUUAUUCUAAA